UGCAAGUCGAGCGAACAGAUAAGGAGCUUGCUCCUUUGAAGUUAGCGGCGGACGGGUGAGUAACACGUGGGUAACCUACCUAUAAGACUGGAAUAACUUCGGGAAACCGGAGCUAAUGCCGGAUAACAUAUAGAACCGCAUGGUUCUAUAGUGAAAGAUGGUUUUGCUAUCACUUAUAGAUGGACCCGCGCCGUAUUAGCUAGUUGGUAAGGUAAUGGCUUACCAAGGCGACGAUACGUAGCCGACCUGAGAGGGUGAUCGGCCACACUGGAACUGAGACACGGUCCAGACUCCUACGGGAGGCAGCAGUAGGGAAUCUUCCGCAAUGGGCGAAAGCCUGACGGAGCAACGCCGCGUGAGUGAUGAAGGUUUUCGGAUCGUAAAACUCUGUUAUUAGGGAAGAACAAAUGCGUAAGUAACUGUGCGCAUCUUGACGGUACCUAAUCAGAAAGCCACGGCUAACUACGUGCCAGCAGCCGCGGUAAUACGUAGGUGGCAAGCGUUAUCCGGAAUUAUUGGGCGUAAAGCGCGCGUAGGCGGUUUCUUAAGUCUGAUGUGAAAGCCCACGGCUCAACCGUGGAGGGUCAUUGGAAACUGGGAAACUUGAGUGCAGAAGAGGAAAGUGGAAUUCCAUGUGUAGCGGUGAAAUGCGCAGAGAUAUGGAGGAACACCAGUGGCGAAGGCGACUUUCUGGUCUGUAACUGACGCUGAUGUGCGAAAGCGUGGGGAUCAAACAGGAUUAGAUACCCUGGUAGUCCACGCCGUAAACGAUGAGUG
rnacentral:rRNA from 2 species